AGCUCCGGGUCUCUUAAUCACGCCCGGUCCCCUAAUUCCGCCGCGUCCUCACUGGCGUCCCCGCCGGCGGCACCGCGCACGCUCUUGCCUUGGGACCGCCGCUCAGGACUGCGCCCGUGCGGGGACGGGCGGGGCGUUGCUGUGGCGACGGCAGGAUGUGGCCCGCGGUCCCCAGAGAGUGUGUUGCAGCGGGCGGGACCCUCUGCGCCUUGGCCCAGUCCCGCACUGCGUCCGCGGGGGUCACAGCCCGGCCGCCACGGGGCCCAUAGGCGGCGUCUGCCGAGCCCCUGCGACAUGCGUGGCCGCGCCCCGCGACUGCUGCCGAGUCAGGAACUGUCGGAUCGCUCCUCGCCGGGUGACUGAGGAAACCGUAAGUGACAGUCGGGCUUUGCCUCAGUGUCCCUCUGAAGAGGUCUCGGUCCCCCUCACAGACAGCAUCUCAGCCUCUCAUGCGUGUCACCCCGGGAGCAGGGGCAGUUCCAGGACCAGGCUCUGCGGGCCGCCACCAGGAGGAGGCGUGACGGGGCCGCGGGAAGCGGUGUACACCAGGGCACAGCAACAAAAAUUCCUACUGCUUUUAAAUUAAAAUGGAAAAAUAUGAGAACCUAGGAUUGGUUGGAGAAGGAAGCUACGGAAUGGUGAUGAAGUGUAGGGAUAAAGAGAGUGGAAGGAUUGUGGCCAUCAAGAAGUUCUUAGAAAGUGACAAUGACAAAAUGGUUAAAAAAAUUGCCAUGCGAGAGAUCAAGUUACUGAAGCAACUGAGGCAUGAGAAUUUGGUGAAUCUGUUGGAAGUGUGUAAGAAGAAAAAAAGAUGGUACCUGGUCUUUGAAUUUGUUGACCACACAAUUCUUGAUGACUUGGAACUCUUUCCAAAUGGACUAGACUACCAAGUAGUCCAAAAAUAUUUAUUUCAGAUUAUUAAUGGAAUUGGCUUUUGUCACAGUCAUAAUAUCAUACACAGGGACAUAAAGCCAGAGAACAUUUUGGUGUCCCAGGCUGGUGUGGUGAAGCUGUGUGACUUUGGGUUUGCGCGAACAUUGGCUGCUCCCGGGGAGGCCUACACUGACUAUGUGGCCACCCGGUGGUACAGGGCACCUGAGCUGCUGGUCGGAGAUGUCAAGUAUGGCAAGGCUGUUGAUGUCUGGGCCAUCGGUUGUUUGGUAACCGAGAUGCUCACAGGGGAGCCACUGUUUCCGGGAGAUUCUGACAUUGACCAGCUCUACCAUAUUAUGAUGUGUUUAGGUAAUUUAAUUCCAAGACACCAGGAGCUGUUUUAUAAAAAUCCUGUGUUUGCUGGAGUACAAUUGCCUGAAAUCCAGGAAAAAGAGCCUCUUGAAAGACGCUACCCUAAGCUCUCUGAAGUUGUGACAGAUUUAACAAAGAAAUGCUUACAUGUUGACCCCGACAAAAGGCCACUGUGUGCCGAGCUCCUGCACCACGCCUUCUUCCAAAUGGACGGGUUUGCUGAGAGAUUCUCCAGGGAACUACAGCUAAAAAUACAGAAAGAUGCCAGGAAUAUUUCUUUGCCUAAAAAAUCCCAAAGCAGAAAGAAGGAAAAGGAAAAAGAUGAAUCUUUAGGUGAAGAAAGAAAAACACUUGUGGUACAGGAUACCAAUGCUGAUACCAAAAUUAAGGAUUCCAAAGUAUUUAAAACAAAAGCAUCAAAAGUUGAUGGAGAGAAAACUGAAAAGGGCACUAGAGCUUCCAAUGCCAGCUGUCUUCGUACCAGUGGGACAAGACACAUCCCGGCAGUGCCCUCAGGCUGCCUUGGGGACCACGGCAGCCAGGCCACCAGGGUCCCUGGGGUGGCCAUCCCCCCGCUGGUGCACACUCCCUCUGCAGCAGCUCCUGGCAGUAACCCUGGAGUCCAGAGUUACAGAGUGGAUGAGAAAACUAAGAAGUAUUGCAUUCCAUUUGUUAAACCAAAUAAACACUCUCCAUCAGGAAUUUAUAAUAAUGUGCCCACAUUGCAGGUCUCCAGUGAGAAGAACCUCCUUCAGGCAAAUAAGAAGCGAGGGGAACAUGCCAAGACAGAGGUGCGGUUGCCUGAACUGAGCUACCGUCAUCUCCCUGAACUGAAAGCCCUGGAAGGCAUGGCUCGAAAUUCUAGACUAAUAAAGAAAGAGAACAAAAUUCUUCCCGAAUCACGAAUACCUUCUCUGGCUGCUAUUGACCUUCACGCCUCCAGCAUGGUGUUGAACCAGGUAUUAGGAUCACCCCUGUCAGAUGACACGGAGGCUGAUUUCCCCCAGGUGGAGCACCAGCACUGAGGACACAGUAGGUCUGGCUGCUCAUAUUUAAAGCCAUGUAACUGUGCACAAGAGCUGUUUUGUGUCUUGCUGAAGAAAUUGGUCAGUGGAAACAUUGUCUGCUGAUUGGCUCUGUAAACUCCUGACAGAGGAGGCAUUGUACCAGAAGUAAUGUUUGUGGUGCUGCAUCUGAGAUAACAUCCUUUUGUGACAGGAGUGCUGAUAUCCUGGGAGGAGAGAUGCAUGCUUUUCUUUCCUUCUGAAUUGCCUGCUUUUUCUGAGAAAGGAGGACAGAAAGGAAAGAAAGAAAAGGAAAGAAAGACAAAGACUUGCAGCCAUUUCACAGGAGGACUGAAGGAGUGCCCCUCCUCCCCUCUUCAGUCUGUUGAUGCUGUUUCAAGAUGUAUCUAAUAAAGAAUAGUGAUAUGGGUCUUGUUACAUGAAUGUUUAUUUACUGUUAGUAGAUUGUUAAAGUUAGCCAAGAUUAAAAGUGAGUAAAAAAGAAAUAUUAUAAAAGGUCAUGUUAUUCAUGCAUUGAACUUUGUGUGCUAUUUGUAUAAAAGCUUACUGUUAAAGAAAAUGAGAAAGCUAGGAUCUGUAAGAAAAAAUGUUUCCCUUAACUAUAAAGGCACACCUGAAAUUCCUGUUUCCUGGCACUGAGGUGCUGUGUAACUGCUGUCCACAGGAGGUGUGGGUCUGUGGUCACGAUGACUGUUGAUGUUCAGUCCAUGUGUGACGGGAAUCGAGGAGAAACCAUGACGUCUUCUGACAGCACAGCUCUGGCCUCACUAUUCUCUGUGUGAGGAGAGUCUGGUGCCAGGGUUCUUUGUAAGGGAGCACAAUUGGAGCAGGGGUGGAGAAAUGUUAAAGGUGUGCCUUGGAGCUGAGUGAGGGGCUACUCAUUAGAAAAAGCAGUGUACGGGCCGGGGAUUUAGCUCAGUGGCACUGUGCCUGCCUUGCAUGCUCAAGAUCCUGAGUUUGAUCCCCAGUACCAGAAAAAGCAGUGUAUGUACAAAAUGAGCUGGAAAGUGGGCAGCCACACUGGGUCAGCUGCUGUUGAAGAACCAGGUGGAAGAGGUUUCUGGAGGGAACCUCUAUUAACCGGACUCCACUCUGUCCAUGGUAGUUGGAGGGUAGUAAUAGAACCCAGAGAAGUUUCAGUUUCCCCGUUACCUCAGACACCUAGGCUUUCCCCAAAGCUUCUCACCAAAGUGCAAAGUCAUUUAUCCACAUUUCUUACACACCUUCUGGUGCGCAGGUCUACAGCUUUGUAGAAUGAUGUUAGAUGAGUUUGGGCCUCAGGUUCCUGGUUUCUGGGGUUCCAGUCAUGCUCUGCUUUUAUCAUGUUUAGAGAACAGUUGUAAUGGGGACCAGAAUUUGUACAGGGUUUUUGGCCUUAGCCAAUUAUAUUGUGGUGUUUUUUCCAAAAGUUAUUGAGUAGGCCUUAGCCCAAUGAUUUAAUUAGAAUUCUUCUUUGUUAUCCUGAGGAGCUUGAUAUUGAAAUUCUGACAUUAGAUACUUGGGCCUCAAAAAAACAAGACCUUCCAGAGGAGGCAAAAUAAAGGGUUUCAAUGUACAAGUCUAUAGAAAGUGAUUCAGUUAAAUUUGGUUUUGGUUUCAAAGCUCUGUCUUCAACCUCUGACAAGGUAUUUCACUAGCUUACCACAGCUAGUAUGCUGGGGUGGGGGGGACUAGUAUUGGUUUUAAUAAGCUUCCUAUUUAAAUAUCAUUUUAUAGGGCCAGGGAUUUAGCUCAGUGGCACCGCGCCUGCCUCACAAGAGCAAGGUCCUGAAUUCAAUCCCCGGUACCAAAAAAAAUUUAUUUUCACUUUGAAAAGUAUUCCCAACAGGCUCUGUGGCAUGGAAAGUGACAAUAUGUAGAACCAAGUGGCACCCCCAGCUUAUUUCAGUUAUGUUUUUAUGUGAAAAAUCAGGAGGAAGAUAUUAGCUUGAUAUCUGAGUGUAGGAUCAGUUGCCUUCUAAUUUCUACCUGGCUUUUAGUAUCUUAGUCUAUUUAAGCAUCUUGUGCACUUUCGAAUUAAGGGACUAAGAAUCAUCCCUUAAGUCCAUGUUGGCACUUAAGGAUCAUAUCUGGUCAGACCCUUGGCUGAAAGACUAGGGAAAGAUUUUGCAAUUUGGAGCUAUAAGCACUGAAUCAAAAUAAUCUCUUUUUAAAAGGAGUUUGUGGUUAUUUAGUCUUUUUAUAAGGGUGGGAUUUAUUCACCUACUAAUAUAAAAUGUGUAUUGGUACUAGUAGGGGGGGGUCAGUGGGCUUGCUGUGUGUAUGAAUGUUUGAAAAUUAAUAAAUGUCUUAGUUCCAUAGAUGAGUUUAAUUUAAUUUAUCUAAUGAAGAGCCUAUAAAUAACAUGUACCACUGUAUGGUCUCUAAUAAAUAAAUUUUAAAUGA